AUACUUACCUGGCAGGGGAGAUAACAUGAUCACAAAGGUGGUUUUCUCAGGUAAGGCUUAUCCAUUGCAUUCCAGAUAUGCUGACCCCUAUGAUUUCUCCAAAUGUGGCAAACUGGGCUGCAUAAUUUGGGGGCCAGGAAGGACUUUGC
rnacentral:snRNA from 1 species